UAGGCCAUGGCGGCGUGCUAUAAUGCAGUCGAACGCUUUGUGGUCCAACUGAUUUGAAGAGCUUGCUCAGAUAUGACGAUGGACAUUGCAAAGAGUGGCGAACGGGUGAGUAACACGUGGGAAACCUACCUCUUAGCAGGGGAUAACACUUGGAAACAAGUGCUAAUACCGUAUAACACUAAUAACCGCAUGGUUAUUAGUUAAAAGAUGGUCUUGCUAUCACUAAGAGAUGGUCCCGCGGUGUAUUAGCUAGUUGGUAAGGUAAUGGCUUACCAAGGCAAUGAUACAUAGCCGAGUUGAGAGACUGAUCGGCCACAAUGGGACUGAGACACGGCCCAUACUCCUACGGGAGGCAGCAGUAGGGAAUCUUCCACAAUGGACGAAAGUCUGAUGGAGCAACGCCGCGUGUGUGAUGAAGGGUUUCGGCUCGUAAAACACUGUUGUAAGAGAAGAAUGACAUUGAGAGUAACUGUUCAGUGUGUGACGGUAUCUUACCAGAAAGGAACGGCUAAAUACGUGCCAGCAGCCGCGGUAAUACGUAUGUUCCAAGCGUUAUCCGGAUUUAUUGGGCGUAAAGCGAGCGCAGACGGUUAUUUAAGUCCGAAGUGAAAGCCCACAGCUUAACUGUGGAAGUGCUUUGGAAACUGGAUAACUUGAGUGCAGUAGAGGAGAGUGGAACUCCAUGUGUAGCGGUGAAAUGCGUAGAUAUAUGGAAGAACACCAGUGGCGAAGGCGGCUCUCUGGACUGUAACUGACGUUGAGGCUCGAAAGUGUGGGUAGCAAACAGGAUUAGAUACCCUGGUAGUCCACACCGUAAACGAUGAGUGCUAGAUGUUUGAGGGUUUCCGCCCUUAAGUGUCGCAGCUAACGCAUUAAGCACUCCGCCUGGGGAGUACGACCGCAAGGUUGAAACUCAAAGGAAUUGACAGGGACCCGCACAAGCGGUGGAGCAUGUGGUUUAAUUCGAAGCAACGCGAAGAACCUUUACCAGGUCUUGACAUCCUUUGACCACUUCAGAGAUGAAGCUUUCCCUUCGGGGACAAAGUGACAGGUGGUGCAUGGGUGUCGUCAGCUCGUGUCGUGAGAUGUUGGGGUAGUCCCGCACGAGCGCACCCUAUACUAGUUGCCAGCAAUCAGUGGCACCUCUAGUGGAGAACUGCCGUGACAGCGAAGAGGGUGGGGAUGACGUCAAUCAUCAUGGCCCAUUAUGACUGGCUUACCCACCGUGCUACAAUGUGCCAAGGUUAC
rnacentral:rRNA from 1 species